AUGGCCGCCGUGGCAGGCCCCACCGUCCUCCGGCUCCGCCCCAGGGCCGCCUCCCUGUCCGCGCCGGCCAUCUCCGCCCCUCCUCGCUGCCGCCUCAGCUCCGUAGCCUGCUCCUAUCCCAAGCUUGCAGGAUCAUUUGCAGUUCAAAGGGUAAAUGGAAGUAGGAUGCAGUACUUGGGCACUCCAAAAGAACAAGUUCUAAGGAGCUCCAGCAACCAUGAUGGACAUAGUAAGCGAAUUGUUUCCUGCACUGCUAGCGACAAACAGGAGCCAAUUGCUUCGCUUACCUCGGACACACCGGUCUUAGAAGAUACCAAUAGUAAUACUGCAGAUUCCUCUGCAUCUUUGGGCUCCGAUUUUACUGAGAGGAGUGCUGGAAAACCGGGAUUCAUCUCAUUUCAUGGCGGCAGCUCUCAAACGUUAAGUGUGGAGGGUGUGCCACAUCCUGGCAAGGAAGCAUCUAGAUUAGUAUGGUUUGUUGGUCCAACUAUUCUUGUGGCAUUCUUGGUUCUUCCAUCGCUUUACCUGCGCAGAGUACUCUCAGCCGUGUUUGAGGAUUCCCUGUUGACAGAUUUCCUUAUACUAUUCUUCACUGAGGCUCUGUUUUACGGAGGAGUCGGGAUUUUUGUCCUGUUAAUUGAUAAAGUCUGGAGACCUUUGCAGCAGGUAGCACCUAAGAGCUACAUCUGGUCAAAAGCUAGGUUUUUCCGAAUUUCUUCAGUAACAACGAUGGUUCUAAGCCUGAUAAUACCGCUUCUGACAAUGGGCAUGGUUUGGCCCUGGACUGGUCCAGCAGCUUCAGCUACUCUUGCACCUUAUCUGGUAGGUCUUGUUGUACAAUUCGUAUUCGAGCAGUAUGCACGGCAUCGGAAAUCACCUUCUUGGCCAGUUAUCCCUAUUAUCUUUAAGGUCUACAGGCUUCACCAACUGAACAGGGCAGCUCAACUGGUGACAGCACUCACCUUUUCUGUUAGAGGAACUGAGGCAACAAAUCAAACUUUGUCUAUCAUGAACUCCUUAGGGGCACUACUGACUGUUCUUCAAAUUCUUGGCGUUAUCUGUGUAUGGUCACUCUCGAGCUUUCUGAUGAGGUUUCUUCCCUCUUCAGACAUUCCAGAUCCUUGA
rnacentral:rRNA from 1 species